UACAGAGGGUGCAAGCGUUAAUCGGAAUUACUGGGCGUAAAGCGUGCGUAGACGGUUAUUUAAGUCAGGUGUGAAAGCCCCGGGCUCAACCUGGGAAUUGCAUUUGAGACUGAAUAGCUAGGGUGCGGAAGAGGGAAGCGGAAUUUCCGGUGUAGCGGUGAAAUGCGUAGAUAUCGGAAGGAACACCAGUGGCGAAAGCGGCUUCCUGGUCCAGCACCGACGUUCAGGCACGAAAGCGUGGGGAGCAAACAGGG
rnacentral:rRNA from 1 species